CUUCCCUACCAAAGCCCAGUUGCAGCCCCCAAACCAAAACUCAGAGAGCAAAAUAACAGCAGAAGAAGCAGCUGGCCUGGACCAUGAAAUCCAAUAAGACCAGUCUUCACUUGUGGUUUUAUUAGCUAAGGCUUUGACUGGAAUUCCAUAUCUAAGGGAGACUUGCCUGGACUCUGGAUAUCACCAAAAAGCAUUAAGAAAUUAAGAUUGACUUCCAAUGCCAAUCAAAGAGCCACUGCCGAAAUGGUCUUGUACCUUAGUUGGUCACAUGGUUCAUGGCAGUGUUUCCAGGAAAGGAACAAAGAUUGCUUUCCUUAAAGAUGGCAAAAAAGGAACUUCAAGACAUCUUUGGGAACCUCAAGGACUUUAGGAAUUGACCUAAAUCUCCAGGUAUUGGAGGCAAAACAUGAUGGCAACUGUGGCUUGGCUUCUCCACCCUGAGGGACUGACUGUUCACUGAAGCUCAAUCUACAUAUUCCUUAUAAAAAUUCCAGCAAAGCAAACUUGAAAGAGCCUGUGUGAUCAUUUUGAUCAAUUACUAUUCUUGUUGUACUUGUGCAAAUAAUCACACCAAACUAAAGUUGGACUUAAUAAAAUGAGGGUAAUCUUAGGGAGAAAAAUUGUAUUUCAGUGGAAACCAUAAUGCCCAAUUUUAAAUACUGAACUCCAAUGCUGUUAAGUGUCUUCAAAGUUUUGUUUUAAAGCUGUGUCUGUGCUGUGUAUGCCAUAUAGACUCUCAGCACCUGAUAACAUCACCAGAGAUAUUCUAACUGCAGACAAUCUAUCAGACUGUCACUGCUUGCUUUUAUUCCAGCAAAAGCCUUGCAUCUAGAAGUCUUAAUUGGUUUACGAUUUACUAUGUGCAUUAACCUUUGUGUUUUGCUUCCUCUGUUUUCAUAGAAUGCAUGCCUAUGUCCUUAUUUACCUGAUUGCUUGUUCACAUAAUAUAAGCCUCACUUUAGAAACAA